UACGUAGGAUGCAAGCGUUGUCCGGAAUUAUUGGGCGUAAAGAGCGAGCAGGCGGUUUGGAAAGUUGGACGUGAAAUUUUAGGGCUUAACCCUAAAGGGUCGUCCAAAACUCCCAGGCUAGAGUGCAGGAGAGGAAAGCGGAAUUCCCGGUGUAGUGGUGAAAUGCGUAGAUAUCGGGAGGAACACCAGAGGCGAAGGCGGCUUUCUGGCCUGUAACUGACGCUGAGGCGCGAAGGCUGGGGUAGCGAACAGG
rnacentral:rRNA from 1 species